UAUUGGUCAAUGGACGCAAGUCUGAACCAGCCAUGCCGCGUGAAGGAUGAAGGUCCUCUGGAUUGUAAACUUCUUUUAUAUGGGAAGAAAUCCUCGAAAUCUUUCGGGGUUGACGGUACCAUAGGAAUAAGCACCGGCUAACUCCGUGCCAGCAGCCGCGGUAAUACGGAGGGUGCAAGCGUUAUCCGGAUUCACUGGGUUUAAAGGGUGCGUAGGAGGGCAGGUAAGUCAGUGGUGAAAUCUCCAAGCUUAACUUGGAAACUGCCGUUGAUACUAUCUGUCUUGAAUACCGUGGAGAUGAGCGGAAUAUGUCAUGUAGCGGUGAAAUGCUUAGAUAUGACAUAGAACACCAAUUGCGAAGGCAGCUCGUUACACGAAUAUGACUCUGAGCACGAAA
rnacentral:rRNA from 1 species